rnacentral:rRNA from 1 species
UACGGGGGGGGCAAGCGUUGUUCGGAUUUACUGGCGUAAAGAGCGCGCAGGCGGUCGUGCAAGUCGCGUGUGAAAGCCCCCGGCUCAACUGGGGAGGGUCACGCGAUACUGCUCGACUUGAAGGCAGGAGAGGGAAGUGGAAUUCCCGGUGUAGUGGUGAAAUGCGUAGAAAUCCGGAGGAACACCAGUGGCGAAGGCGACACGCUGGGCCAUACCUGACGCUAAAGCGCGACAGCAUGGGGAGCAAACGGG